rnacentral:lncRNA from 1 species
AGCAGUUCCUGGCAGAGGACAUGGGCAUUCUCCAGCUUGGAAAUUUAAUUGCCUACCAUAGCCAUGAAGCCCAUUUCCAAGGCAAAAAAAAGAAAAUUGAAAGGAAAAAAAAAAGAAUAAGAAAAAAGAAAAGCCACAUGAGUUGUAGGAGAAGUUCUCACGGAAGCAGCUAAGAUGAGCUGGCUGCUGCAUUUGACCGUCAGCCUUUGUGGGAGGCCAGUUUUUCAUAAGCCAGUCCCAGAAGCUGUCGUUCAGAAGAGGAAGAGCAACAAAGACAGCUCUGUCAGCAACGAGAAAAUGGAAGUCACAGGCAAAACCAGAAAACGCUGUCCCCUGGAAUCAUCAUGAUCUGCAGGAUAAUUGUGCCAAGCUCGGACGCCCAGGAGUGGACGCUGAUGGCCAUGCCAGGAUGAAUCUUUUCUCAAAAGUCCGGAGUUGAGGAAAGUGAUGACGGGCAGAGGCAGAUGCAGACGAACUGGAAACCCACCACAGCUGGAAUGAGGAGGCUCAAAGGACGUAGAAGCCCCCAUAUCCAGCUCUCAGAAUACUGAAAUAGUGGAUUCCAAGAAAUUAAAAGUGCCCUAGGAGCCUCAGGCUUGGAAAAGGAAAAGGCUGAGGGGGCUCUAGUCCCCAGAAGGACAUUUCACUCAGUGUUGACAAGCUGUCAGACGGCCAAGUAGCAGGCAGGAUGGAGCAGAGACAAGGAUGGCUCAGGGAUGGCUGGACCCGACCUUCCCCAGGGCUCCUCAGUUAUUCACGCUCUGCUCUUUGUUUAAACUAAAACUUCAUCUCAAGACCCCAAAGAUGGACUUCAGGGGAGGGGGGCACUUGACACCCCAUCUCUCUCCCUAAUGUAGCUACUCUGGAAACAAACAAACACUUUUUUUUUAUCAUUAUUGCUUGUUUUCUGAGGGCAAGUCACUGGGCUCAAUGUGAGAGCUACUGGGGCCCAGACUAUCCCCAGUUGCUCCAGAAACAGUGCUUGCUAUUUGGUAGACAUUAAGCACGCCAUGUAGUCUGAGGGAACCUCAGGUCUGUCUUAGUAAUUCUACUUCUUGUCCGGGUUCUGGGUACUACCUUCAUUCUACCAGGGAGCUCAGGUAACUCAGCUAACUAACAUAAAGACCAGCCCUUCUAUUGGGAUCCAGGUCAAAUGAAAACAGGGAAGAAAGAUGGGGGAGAAGAGAAGGCAAAGAAACUACUGUUUUACAAUUUGUCAUUCAUUUUUAAUGCUUGCUGUAUCCCACUCUGUGCCAACCUGUGUUAGGUACCAGAAAGAUACCUGUGGGUGAAGUGUCCCUCCACCGCGAGUCUUUCAGAGCUUCUGGGAUGAUGUUGACCACUGAAACAGCACUCAAUGCAAGGAGAGCGUGAGACCCAGG